rnacentral:rRNA from 1 species
UACGUAGGGUGCAAGCGUUGCCCGGAUUUAUUGGGCGUAAAGGGCGCGUAGGCGGCUCGGCACGUCCGUUGUGAAAUCGCCCGGCUCAACUGGGCGGGGUCAGCGGAUACGGCCGAGCUUGAGCAAGCUAGGGGGCAAUGGAAUUCCCGGUGUAGUGGUGGAAUGCGUAGAUAUCGGGAGGAACACCAGUGGCGAAGGCGGGUCUCUGGACAGUUCCUGACGCUGAGGCACGAAGGUCAGGGGAGCAAACGGG